AUACCUGUUCGAGCGUCAUUACACCCCUCAAAGAUGACUCUUUGGCGUUGGGCAAUGCCUAAAGGCAUGCCUCAAAAUCAGCGAUGGUGAUAUUCAACCACAGGCGCACACACGUCGUCUAGCUGGCGGGAUGUUGACAGUCAAUUGAUGAAUUUCUAAAUGUUGACCUCGGAUCGAGGUAGGAUACCCGCUGAACUUAA
rnacentral:misc_RNA from 1 species